UCUCCGUUGGUGAUCCAGCGGAGGGAUCAUUACUGGAAUCGCAAGAUCCCACAACCCUGUGAACCUACCGAAACGUUGCCUCGGCGGGUGCCCGGCCUCUGCGCCGGGCGCUGCGCCCGCCGGCGGCCCCCUACUCUGUCUCUGCAGCGUGGCAUCUCAGAGUCCCAGAAAACAAGUCAAAACUUUCAACAACGGAUCUCUUGGCUCUA
rnacentral:misc_RNA from 1 species